GACGAACGCUGGCGGCGUGCUUAACACAUGCAAGUCGAACGGAAAGGCCCUUCGGGGUACUCGAGUGGCGAACGGGUGAGUAACACGUGGGUGAUCUGCCCUGCACUUUGGGAUAAGCCUGGGAAACUGGGUCUAAUACCGAAUAGGACCACGCGCUUCAUGGUGUGUGGUGGAAAGCUUUUGCGGUGUGGGAUGGGCCCGCGGCCUAUCAGCUUGUUGGUGGGGUAAUGGCCUACCAAGGCGACGACGGGUAGCCGGCCUGAGAGGGUGACCGGCCACACUGGGACUGAGAUACGGCCCAGACUCCUACGGGAGGCAGCAGUGGGGAAUAUUGCACAAUGGGCGCAAGCCUGAUGCAGCGACGCCGCGUGAGGGAUGACGGCCUUCGGGUUGUAAACCUCUUUCAAUAGGGACGAAGCGUGAGUGACGGUACCUAUAGAAGAAGCACCGGCCAACUACGUGCCAGCAGCCGCGGUAAUACGUAGGGUGCGAGCGUUGUCCGGAAUUACUGGGCGUAAAGAGCUCGUAGGUGGUUUGUCGCGUUGUUCGUGAAAACUCACAGCUUAACUGUGGGCGUGCGGGCGAUACGGGCAGACUAGAGUACUGCAGGGGAGACUGGAAUUCCUGGUGUAGCGGUGGAAUGCGCAGAUAUCAGGAGGAACACCGGUGGCGAAGGCGGGUCUCUGGGCAGUAACUGACGCUGAGGAGCGAAAGCGUGGGGAGCGAACAGGAUUAGAUACCCUGGUAGUCCACGCCGUAAACGGUGGGUACUAGGUGUGGGUUCCUUCCUUGGGAUCCGUGCCGUAGCUAACGCAUUAAGUACCCCGCCUGGGGAGUACGGCCGCAAGGCUAAAACUCAAAGGAAUUGACGGGGGCCCGCACAAGCGGCGGAGCAUGUGGAUUAAUUCGAUGCAACGCGAAGAACCUUACCUGGGUUUGACAUGCACAGGACGCCGGCAGAGAUGUCGGUUCCCUUGUGGCCUGUGUGCAGGUGGUGCAUGGCUGUCGUCAGCUCGUGUCGUGAGAUGUUGGGUUAAGUCCCGCAACGAGCGCAACCCUUGUCCUAUGUUGCCAGCGGGUUAUGCCGGGGACUCGUAGGAGACUGCCGGGGUCAACUCGGAGGAAGGUGGGGAUGACGUCAAGUCAUCAUGCCCCUUAUGUCCAGGGCUUCACACAUGCUACAAUGGCCGGUACAAAGGGCUGCGAUGCCGUGAGGUGGAGCGAAUCCUUUCAAAGCCGGUCUCAGUUCGGAUCGGGGUCUGCAACUCGACCCCGUGAAGUCGGAGUCGCUAGUAAUCGCAGAUCAGCAACGCUGCGGUGAAUACGUCCCCGGGCCU
rnacentral:rRNA from 1 species